rnacentral:rRNA from 1 species
UACAGAGGGUGCGAGCGUUAAUCGGAAUUACUGGGCGUAAAGCGUGCGUAGACGGCUAUCUAAGUCGGGUGUGAAAGCCCCGGGCUCAACCUGGGAAUUGCAUUCGAGACUGAAUAGCUAGGGUGCGGUAGAGGGAAGCGGAAUUUCCGGUGUAGCGGUGAAAUGCGUAGAUAUCGGAAGGACAUCAGUGCGAAAGCGGCUUCCUGGACCAGCACCCGACGUCAGGCACGAAAGCGUGGGGAGCAAA